AGUGAACGCUGGCGGUAGGCCUAACACAUGCAAGUCGAACGGCAGCACAGUAAGAUCUUGCUCUUACGGGUGGCGAGUGGCGGACGGGUGAGGAAUACAUCGGAAUCUACUUUUUCGUGGAGGAUAACGUAGGGAAACUUACGCUAAUACCGCAUACGACCUACCGGUGAAAGCAGGGGAUCUUCGGACCUUGCGCGAUUGAAUGAGCCGAUGUCGGAUUAGCUAGUUGGCGGGGUAAAGGCCCACCAAGGCGACGAUCCGUAGCUGGUCUGAGAGGAUGGUCAGCCACACUGGAACUGAGCCACGGUCAAGAGUCCUACGGGAGGCAGCAGUGGGGAAUAUUGGACAAUGGGCGCAAGCCUGAUCCAGCCAGACCGCGUGGGAGAAGAAGGCCUUCGGGUUGUAAAGCCCUUUUGUUGGGAAAGAAAAGCAGCAGGUUAAUACCCAGCUGUUCUGACGGUAACGAAAGAAUAAGCACCGGCUAACUUCGUG
rnacentral:rRNA from 1 species